UCAGUGACAUUGUAACCAGAUAUUUUAGAUUAACACCGUCCUACGCCAUAAUAAUCUUCUUUCAUGUUUGGAUCUUACCGCUUCUUGGUUCGGGACCCUUUUGGAAGCAUGAAAUCGUACACGAGAGCGAGGAAUGUGCCGCUAAUUGGUGGUCAAAUCUACUGUAUAUUAACAAUUAUGUAAAAUCAACAGAAAUGUGUAUGUUUCAAACGUGGUAUUUAGCCGUCGAUUUCCAGUUAUUUAUUCUUAGCCAACUUGUAAUUUACGCAUUUUGGCGUAUGCCUCGUAAAAUUGGAUAUUCUUUUCUUGGAACGCUAACAAUCAUCAGCUGUGCUAUACCAUUUUUUUUAACAUAUUCAUAUGGCGUAUCGCCUAUUUUUCUAUUUACGCUGCGAUAAAUUAUGCGUGUAUCAUUUAUAUAUAUAGCGUGUUUUGUGAAAUACCAUAUACAUAUAUUUAUGUUAUAUAUAUAUGUUAUAUAUGUUAUAUAAGAAGUACUUGUGCUAAUUUUCUAAAUGGUAUUUUAACGCAUAAUGUAAGAACUAAAGCAACCAAAAACGAAAAGACUGUGUCUGGAA